UUGCUUUAGUAACAUUCAACCUAAGGGAUUAGAUGCUUGAGUUGCUUUAGCAAAAGAACAUUCAUCUAGGGAUAGAGCUUGUUUAGCUUAGUGUCUAGGCAUAAGGAAAGUGUUUGAUUGCUAGCUUGUCACCCUUAGAUUGGAUCUACAUCACCCAAGAUCAAAUGCCUAGUCCCAUGAGUCCUCUUGCUUCAUAUUGAGAAAAGAAAGAUCAUUACUUUAUUGCAUUAGCUUAUUAGUUCUUAGUUCAUACCAUCUUUAAAACCGGAUUGCACUUAGCUUAAGCAUGAACUUGCAUUCCCUUUGCUUUAGAAUCACCUAGGAUUGGUUCGACAAUCUUUUAUACUACAUUGAUUUGAUCUUAGACCCUUGAAAAGUCUAGCACCACUUCUCAAAUCAGAGAUAAUUACUCACCAGUUUGCUUCUCAAAUUAGAAAGAUUUGAAAAAAAAAGAAGGAGAAGAAAGAUACUGAAACACAUGUGGGCGGAGACAAGGCUAGACUUACAUAGGUCUCGCCUUGUUUCUUCCCACCUGUGAUUCCGGUAUCUUUCUUCUCUUCUUUUUUCAAAUAUUACAACAGCAGUCUAUAUAUGAUUAUUUCGACCAGAGACAUAACUCCCUAACACUACAAGAAUUCAGUAAACUAUGGCGAAAGAGUUCCUGUAGCCAAAUUUAUUAGCUACAAAUAUAGCGACAGAAUACAUAAUUUUACCUUUGUAGCUAAAUUUGUUGCUAACUGUAGCUAAAUAGCUAUAGAAAGAUUUUGUAGGUGGUCUGUAGCUGAAUAGCUACGUCUUGGUUAGAGAUUAGUUGUUGUUAGCAAUGAUUAGCUACAUAUAUUUCUAUCCUCACAAUGCUACAUAUAGUAAAAAUAAUUAAAUUAAUAUAAAUUAUAAUAUUUCGUAUAUAUAUAUAUAUAAUGUAUGUAUUAAUAAGAUGAUUAUCGAUUAAUUUUACAAUGCAAAUUGAAUUUUAUGUUUUAAGAUAAACUUUUGAUGCACAUAUAUUAACAGCAGUAGUUCAGUAAAAUUAAUGGCUAGACACAUAUGCUGGUUUAAGUUUAGUCACUUAUAGUAAUUGUCAAGCAUCUUUUGUUAGGUUUACAUUGAACAUUAUAGCUCUACUUAUAUAGUUUAUGUUAAUUGUGACAUUUCAUCGGUUUGUAUAACAAGGUCAAGAAUGUUUAAUUUUUUUUCAAGUUAAGUUUUUAAAAUGUUAUGGAAGUUCUUUAUAGAAGUUUUAUUAUUUGAGGAUACAUAUAUGACCAAUUUCUUCUCUGAUUUUUCUAUUCCAAUUUUAAAUUUAACCCUAAACCUCAAACCCUAAACCCUAUAAUAUACUCUCAUAUGUUAAAAGAGUUAAAACAAGCUAAUUUUUUAUUAGAAAUAAAACGAAGUUUUACUUUAAAAAAAAAACUCAUGUCUUAUACACUUUUAUCCUUUUAUCAAUUUAUUAUGUUGAUAUAUUUUUAUUUUCUUUGAAUAAUUAUGUGACGUUCAAUCAACUACCAUAUGUACACAAACUUAUUUAUAUAUAUAUUGAUAUAUUGGAGUUUAAUAAAUUUUAUUAUAAAGUUUGAAUUUUAAAAUGUUAUAACAUCGCUGCAUAUUGAGUUUUCCUAACAAUAUAUAGAUAAGUCUAGAAAAAACAUCGAAAUUAAUAAAAAUCUGUCAAGGUCCCUGCUUGGCGGUGGAGAGAAAAAUUUUCACGCCAAAUUUUCUUAAUGGCGCCCAAAAUUUUCUCCUAAAUAUUCAAUUACUGCCAUAAAAUAAUUUCCCAAAUUUCUCAGCCAAAAUAUUUCUUACACUUUCCUUUUAACUCUUCUUCUCCGUGGAAACAAACACUCUCAUCGCCGACAAAGACCAACCCUAUCCCACUUCUCAUUCACGACAAAUUACCAGAGCUUCUCUUAAUGGGCUCUAGUAUGCAUCCACCAAGAAAAGGCAAUUUCCCUACAAAAUCUACUAUUGGACAAGGCGCAACAACUUUCGUGAAGAACACAUCUCAGGCAGAUCAUGUAGAUGGGUGAGGAGCCAGCAAUACUGACUUAGAGGGGAAGAUCCACAUGAAUACUGUUGAAUAAAGUUGAGUCUAUUGUUAUUGUUAAGAUUAUGUAUUUCCCUUGUGAUUCUUUUUGUGUUAUUGCUUAUUGGUAAAUGUUUGAUUACCUCUUUCUUUUGUUAUGGCUAUGUGGCAGUGUUAUGCUUUAUUGUAAGUUUAGUAAUUGUGUUUUUUGUUUUCUGGUUUCUUAGGCAGUCAAGCCACACAAAAGAUGUUUGUUUGGACGUGGAACAACACAAAUGGAGAACAAUUAUCACAUUGAUCCACCAGGCCGUCGUUCUUACUCGUCAAUCUCGUUUAGAGAAGGAGUUGAUUAGUUUGACUGAAACUGUCUACUUGAUGAGCUAGCAGCUCACUGCUUUGUGUGAAGCUAGAGGAGUGGCAAGCACUGAUGCAACUACCAACCCUUCUCCAUCCUCACCUCCUAGCACCAAUGAGCAGAGAAUCUAGAUGAUGUUGAUGACUUUCUACAAUCAAUUGAAGACAUAGCAACUGGAAUCUUUUGUGUUUAGUUUGAACUUUUAUUAUGUCAUUAGUUUCCACCUAUUGGGUUUAAUAUUUUGUUUUCUGCUAGCAACGAAUGCAAUGUUUCUAUUCUGUUUUGGGAA